GAUAGGAGCGCCUACCGCAUGGUGGGUGUUGGAAAGAUUUAUCGGUUUUGGAUGGACUCGCGGCCUAUCAGCUUGUUGGUGAGGUAAUGGCUCACCAAGGCGACGACGGGUAGCCGGCCUGAGAGGGUGACCGGCCACACUGGGACUGAGACACGGCCCAGACUCCUACGGGAGGCAGCAGUGGGGAAUAUUGCACAAUGGGCGCAAGCCUGAUGCAGCGACGCCGCGUGAGGGAUGACGGCCUUCGGGUUGUAAACCUCUUUCAGUAGGGAAGAAGCGAAAGUGACGGUACCUGCAGAAGAAGCACCGGCUAACUACGUGCCAGCAGCCGCGGUAAUACGUAGGGUGCGAGCGUUAUCCGGAAUUAUUGGGCGUAAAGAGCUCGUAGGCGGUUUGUCGCGUCUGUCGUGAAAGUCCGGGGCUUAACCCCGGAUCUGCGGUGGGUACGGGCAGACUAGAGUGCAGUAGGGGAGACUGGAAUUCCUGGUGUAGCGGUGGAAUGCGCAGAUAUCAGGAGGAACACCGAUGGCGAAGGCAGGUCUCUGGGCUGUAACUGACGCUGAGGAGCGAAAGCAUGGGGAGCGAACAGGAUUAGAUACCCUGGUAGUCCAUGCCGUAAACGUUGGGCACUAGGUGUGGGGACCAUUCCACGGUUUCCGCGCCGCAGCUAACGCAUUAAGUGCCCCGCCUGGGGAGUACGGCCGCAAGGCUAAAACUCAAAGGAAUUGACGGGGGCCCGCACAAGCGGCGGAGCAUGCGGAUUAAUUCGAUGCAACGCGAAGAACCUUACCAAGGCUUGACAUGUUCUCGAUCGCCGUAGAGAUACGGUUUCCCCUUUGGGGCGGGUUCACAGGUGGUGCAUGGUUGUCGUCAGCUCGUGUCGUGAGAUGUUGGGUUAAGUCCCGCAACGAGCGCAACCCUCGUUCCAUGUUGCCAGCACGUAAUGGUGGGGACUCAUGGGAGACUGCCGGGGUCAACUCGGAGGAAGGUGAGGACGACGUCAAAUCAUCAUGCCCCUUAUGUCUUGGGCUUCACGCAUGCUACAAUGGCCGGUACAAUGGGUUGCGAUACUGUGAGGUGGAGCUAAUCCCAAAAAGCCGGUCUCAGUUCGGAUUGGGGUAUGCAACUCGACCCCAUGAAGUCGGAGUC
rnacentral:rRNA from 1 species